GAUGAACGCUGGCGGCGUGCCUAAUACAUGCAAGUCGAGCGAACAGACGAGGAGCUUGCUCCUCUGACGUUAGCGGCGGACGGGUGAGUAACACGUGGAUAACCUACCUAUAAGACUGGGAUAACUUCGGGAAACCGGAGCUAAUACCGGAUAAUAUAUUGAACCGCAUGGUUCAAUAGUGAAAGACGGUUUUGCUGUCACUUAUAGAUGGAUCCGCGCUGCAUUAGCUAGUUGGUAAGGUAACGGCUUACCAAGGCAACGAUGCAUAGCCGACCUGAGAGGGUGAUCGGCCACACUGGAACUGAGACACGGCCCAGACUCCUACGGGAGGCAGCAGUAGGGAAUCUUCCGCAAUGGGCGAAAGCCUGACGGAGCAACGCCGCGUGAGUGAUGAAGGUCUUCGGAUCGUAAAACUCUGUUAUUAGGGAAGAACAAAUGUGUAAGUAACUAUGCACGUCUUGACGGUACCUAAUCAGAAAGCCACGGCUAACUACGUG
rnacentral:rRNA from 1 species